GUCUUCUCUAGAAGAACAGCCCAAACAUUGAAGUGUGAAGCUGUGAGAGGAGCAAGGAAUAGGGAAGAAGCAGUAGUUACUUUACCAUAGGGCUUAAGAAGGACACAGAUCUGCUGGAGUGAGUCCAGAGGAGGGUCAUGGAGAUGAUCAGAGGGCUGGAGCACCUCUCCUAUGAAGACAGGCUGAGAGAGUUGGGGUUGGUCAGCCUGGAGAAGAGAAGGCUCCAGGAAGACUUCAUGGCAUCCUGAAAGGGCAACAGGAAAGCUGGGGAGAGACUUUUUAUAAGGAUACGAUCACUUGAUGUUUGCUCCCGAGAGAGACAUCUCCAGUGGUGUAUUUUCAUUUCCAGAAAAUCCAUAUGAAAAGUCAAACUCCUUUCUCUCUGGGAAAGCCAUCAGAGCAACACUGAAACUCCAGGAACUGCACUCUGCCUCCAGUGACCCACAGAUUUUGCAUCUUCCUCUGGAAUAUCUCCUUCUGGCUCACGACAAAGCCUGAUUAUUGGACAAGAUGACCCACUACCCUGGUAUGUCCCUUCUCUGUAGGAAGGAUAUUAUGGAGUCUUCUGCACGUUACUGGUUGGUAUCCUUAGUGUAACUCAAUGUAUUUGCUGCAAACCACUGUUUAGCAC